ensembl:lncRNA
GUUAAACUUUUACUCCACAUGGCUGACAAACAGAGCAAGAUGAAGCCCAAAAUAAAGGAGCCACGAGCUGCUCUGGAGAAAUCAAGAAAAAUGGUAGAGAAGAUCAAAGAACUUGAUGAAAAAUUGAUUACUGUUUCCAAAGAAAAGGGUGAUUCAGCCCUGACCUCAGCAAAUGCUGAGAAGUGCUGUAACCAGCUGAUCAAGCAGAAAAUUAGCAUGAAAGAACAGAUAUCCAGGAUAUGAAAGAGCCGUUAGAGAAGGAGAAGAAUGUUGCCAAUGCUUGAAGUGCUCAAAACUAAUGGAUCUGAGAAGAGACUUGGAAGGAUAGGAGUCGAUUCUGGCAAAGUCAGAAAAGGAAAAACAGGUGAAAGCAAUCAAGGUUUUCACUAAAAUAUGGUUGUAAAUUCCCCACAUAUCUGC